AAUUUGAAAUAUUUGGGCAGUUGGAUCAUUAUAAUUCGUGCUCGGUUUGUUUCAAACUUUGAUCCAACUACGGCCUGUAAAACCAAACUUGUUACAAAACGACUCCCACAACCACAAUUUACUACAUUACAACUCUGAAACUGUUUUUGUUUGUCGGGUAUUUUAGUUUCUUGGUCUCUAAUUUUGGAAACACGUGCGUGGUACAUGACAAAAAGCAUGUACGAACGGUUACCCAUUCUUUUACUGUGAUUCAUUCCGUCUAUUUUUGCAAUCGUAUAUAUGCAUACACACUCAAACGUAUCGACGUAUAGCCACGAUUCUCUUAUCUGCAGAGCAAGCAUUAUUAAGUAGAUAUCAAAAAUAUUUGUAGAACUUUAAUGCAAUUUUUAUUCAGUUAGACAAACUAAGAGUCAAUCCUGCACAAAUUGUCAAUUCAUCGUCUUUUAAAUAGUUGUUUGGUAAAUUGUAAGGAGAGAGAGGCUGGAUUUUGAUAUGAGAUCAUCCUCCUUCUUGCUGCUCGGAUUUCUUUCCACGAUCAAAAUUAAAUCUGCUUAUCCCGUUCUCAUCAUCAUGAGCAGUUAAUCCUAUCUUAUGUUAAAAUCAAAUGUGUUCCACACAUACUGCAAAUUGAGACCGUCGGACGUUAACGGGUCAACAAACUCAUGCACCUCCCGCUGUGCAAAAAUCGGUGGUGAACGUCUGUUCUUUUGGCAAAAUCACGAGUUUGCAUAUUACCACAGUUUGCAAAAGUUUGUAAAUUUUAGAAAAUGUAAAAGUUUUCCGUGAAUGGUUGGAUUGUGUUGUUAUCGUGGUGAUCAGGAAGAAGGGACCUACAAUUUAACCUGCAAGAGAAUGUGUCAUAUUGGCAUUUUUUUGGGGGUGGGGGUCGCCUUUCUCUUGAUAGCUUCCACCCAAAUGUCGACAGCAUUAGUUCAAUUAUCUGAAAUGGGGGAUGACCAAGUAACUCUUAACACGGUGGGGGCUGGAUCCUUCAUUGGUCAACGUGUCACCGAGCUAAAUUCUUCACCAUCUGCAACACAAGACCCAAACGCGCUACCUCGCAGUUAUUUUGCAUUCCGUGGAAUUCCGUACGCACAAGCUACUACCAGAUGGAAGCCCCCAACGCCCGUUGAGGUUCGCAAAGCACCACGUAUCGCCACUCAGUUCAAACCCCCGUGUCCCCAGCUCAAGUGGGAUGGAGACCGGAGGAGGGUAAUCGGGUCUCAGGACUGCUUGUAUCUUUCCGUGUUUACUCCAUAUGUGCCAAGUACCGUCAAGCGUCCGACCCACGGAUUGUCAGAAAAUACCACAUCCUGGACAGUUGAGAAUAGGAAUCUGCUUCCUGUCCUGGUAUUUAUUCACGGAGGGGAAUUUCUUGCUGGAUCUGUUCAGCUGUAUGGACCGGAUAGGUUUAUGAAGGAGGAUGUCGUACUGGUGACCGUGACUUAUCGUCUGGGUUUAUUGGGCUUCUUGUCUAAUGGGGAAGAAUCUCUGCCUGGAAACUAUGGACUUCUCGACCAAAUCGAAGCACUUCGAUGGGUACAGGACAACAUUUACCGGUUUGGAGGUAACCCUGUUUCAGUCUGUGUGUUCGGAAAUGUGGAAUAUCUCCUUCUCUCAAAUGGAGCCAAAGGCCUUUUCCACUCCGCGAUAAUAAGUCCAUCUUCCACCUCGUCCGUAUUUAGUCCACAGCUUAAAACAAAUAAAAAUCACAGCAAUAGGAAAGAUGACGCCAAAAAAUUGUUUCGCAUGGUGGCACAAGAAGUCGGAUGUGGGAUGAGUGAUGAAGAUCAAACUCUUGAAUGCUUACGAUUGGUGGAAACGGAUUCCUUAAUUCGUGUGCAACAUCGUCUCUCAAAAUUUUUCAGCUACCCACGUCAUCCUGGAGGAAUGUCCCCCGGAGUGGAUGGUUCUUGGUCGGCAUUUCCAGUAAUUUCUGACGAGCCACAAAACCUCUUGGAACAAGGAAAGUUUAUGUCCUCUGUCCCCCUCAUGGUGGGACUUAGCGCAUUUGAAGGAUUCAACCCCUUCCUUGAGUUUUAUGUUAAGCUGGGGCCCGAUCGAGAGGCAAAGUUGGAGGACAAAGAUUUUCUAAUGGAUAGGUUGGAAUCCACAAUAAAAACAAUUUUAGGUCUUGAUCCUGUCUAUUCUUUAGAAUUUCAUCGCAUUUUUCUCAGUAUUUGGGACUUUUAUUUUGGUCAAUUAAUUGGUCCAAAGUGGCCUCCAGUAGAUAAUGUCCUUUGGAAAUUGUUUCGGCUUUUUGGGGAUCUCACAGUCAAUUCGGGACAGCGAAGGUUGACUCAACUCCUCGCUGCCAACUCAAAAUCUCCCGUUUUCAGCUACAUCUUCAACGCAAGUUCUGACCAAUUCAACACUUAUCUUGAGAAACGACUCAAAUCUUCCGCUCACUACACCAACUCCAGUAUUUCAAAUCCAGAACGAGGUAUGCAUUCGACAGAGAUUCCCCCAUGGAAAGAGCUAUUUUACCUCUUUGAACCCUUGGACCAACCUGAAAUUGCAGCCACCAGUGGUAACCCGUCAACAGAAGUACAAUUAUCGAGCAAUCCCUCGAAAAGAAAUCUGACGUCAGAGGAGGAAUCGUUAUCCGAUUUUUUGGUCAAGUUGUGGGUAUCGUUCGCAAAAUAUAAAAGCCCGAAACAAAUCAUGGGGAAUAGUCGCGUAAGAGAAAAAUGGGUUCGUGCCCAUGAUGGAAAUCUUAACUAUUUUAUCUUGGGAGUUAAAUCACACCCACUCAAAGGCGACUAUAGGAAAGCGGAGACUGGAUUUUGGUUGUCAAUUUUGCCACAAAUUCAGGGAUUAUCUGAGCAAAUUUCCGAGCUGGAACCAUUCCCCCUGCUGCUCUGGAUAUUUGUGGGACUUACUGCCGUUCUUGUGUUCAUUUCACUCAUUCUCAUGAUCUGCAUUUGCUGUGGGGGUGGGAGCAGAGGGGGCAGGAGAGGCAAAGCCAAGUUUUAAAAUAUUUAUAUACAUAUUGCUGUUGGCUGUAGGUAGUAAGCAAGUAGCUAAUUGUUUGGCUGGAGAUGAAUCAUUCUGCUCUUUCUCUCUGCAACCGUGUACGUCCAUCCUAUGCUGAAAACUAUCUAUGUUAAUAAACAGAAGUUUAUGGAGAAGACACGGUCGUCUUUCUUAAACGGAUUCCAGCUUUAUAAUCAAUUAUUUCAUAUAUUCUUUGAUACUGUUCUAAUACAAAGUUUGCUUUUGUCAAUAAAAUCUGUAUGAAAUU